AUGCUUAGUGGAGGCUUCAGCCCAGGAGCCAUUACAGCCCUUGCCUGCGGGUGCCAGAGAUUCCAAGACACAGACUGAAGACCUGUUGCCUACAGCUGACUGGCUAGAGUCGGAGUCCCAGGGAGUUACCUGUGCGGUGGAGACCCUGAUGUCAUAUGGACUGCAGUUUCAGGAAGCCUGGAAAGGGGUGUAGUCACAGCCACACAGAUGAUGUUGAACUGCCAGUGACGGAGUCUCAUGUUCCUGUGCCACCUGAGAUGACAACUGGCUUGCAAGAGAUGAAGCUGAGUAUUCAGGCAAUCAUGGCUGAAAUCAGGACUAUACCAUUGAAGGACAUCUUGAACUUGCAUUUGUUUUUUUG